CAGUCGCCACGGUAAAACGAAGGGGGCUAGCGUUGUUCGGAUUUACUGGGCGUAAAGCGCACGUAGGCGGAUCGAUCAGUCAGGGGUGAAAUCCUGGAGCUCAACUCCAGAACUGCCUUUGAUACUGUCGAUCUCGAGUCCGGAAGAGGUGAGUGGAACUCCUAGUGUAGAGGUGAAAUUCGUAGAUAUUAGGAAGAACACCAGUGGCGAAGGCGGCUCACUGGUCCGGUACUGACGCUGAGGUGCGAAAGCGCGGGGAGCAAACAGGAUUAGAUACCCCGGUAGUCCCUGUCUCUUAUAC
rnacentral:rRNA from 1 species